AUGAACGCUAGCUACAGGCUUAACACAUGCAAGUCGAGGGGCAGCAUGAUUGAAGCUUGCUUCAAUCGAUGGCGACCGGCGCACGGGUGAGUAACACGUAUCCAACCUGCCGAUAACUCGGGGAUAGCCUUUCGAAAGAAAGAUUAAUACCCGAUAGUAUAGUAUUUCCGCAUGGUUUCACUAUUAAAGAAUUUCGGUUAUCGAUGGGGAUGCGUUCCAUUAGAUAGUUGGCGGGGUAACGGCCCACCAAGUCAACGAUGGAUAGGGGUUCUGAGAGGAAGGUCCCCCACAUUGGAACUGAGACACGGUCCAAACUCCUACGGGAGGCAGCAGUGAGGAAUAUUGGUCAAUGGACGAGAGUCUGAACCAGCCAAGUAGCGUGAAGGAUGACUGCCCUAUGGGUUGUAAACUUCUUUUAUACGGGAAUAAAGUGGAGUAUGCAUACUCCUUUGUAUGUACCGUAUGAAUAAGGAUCGGCUAACUCCGUGCCAGCAGCCGCGGUAAUACGGAGGAUCCGAGCGUUAUCCGGAUUUAUUGGGUUUAAAGGGAGCGUAGGCGGGUGCUUAAGUCAGUUGUGAAAGUUUGCGGCUCAACCGUAAAAUUGCAGUUGAUACUGGGUACCUUGAGUGCAGCAUAGGUAGGCGGAAUUCGUGGUGUAGCGGUGAAAUGCUUAGAUAUCACGAAGAACUCCGAUUGCGAAGGCAGCUUACUGGACUGUAACUGACGCUGAUGCUCGAAAGUGUGGGUAUCAAACAGGAUUAGAUACCCUGGUAGUCCACGCCGUAAACGAUGAAUACUAGGUGUUGGGGGACAAAGUCCUUCGGUGCCGCAGUUAACACAAUAAGUAUUCCACCUGGGGAGUACGAUCGCAAGGUUGAAACUCAAAGGAAUUGACGGGGGCCCGCACAAGCAGUGGAGUAUGUGGUUUAAUUCGAAGCAACGCGAAGAACCUUACCAGGUCUUGACAUCCUCUGACAACCCUAGAGAUAGGGCUUCUCCUUCGGGAGCAGAGUGACAGGUGGUGCAUGGUUGUCGUCAGCUCGUGCCGUGAGGUGUCGGCUUAAGUGCCAUAACGAGCGCAACCCUUAUCUAUAGUUACUAUCAGGUUAUGCUGAGGACUCUAUGGAGACUGCCGUCGUAAGAUGUGAGGAAGGUGGGGAUGACGUCAAAUCAGCACGGCCCUUACGUCCGGGGCUACACACGUGUUACAAUGGGGGGUACAGAAGGCAGCUACCUGGCGACAGGAUGCUAAUCCCUAAAACCUCUCUCAGUUCGGAUUGGAGUCUGCAACCCGACUCCAUGAAGCUGGAUUCGCUAGUAAUCGCGCAUCAGCCACGGCGCGGUGAAUACGUUCCCGGGCCUUGUACACACCGCCCGUCAAGCCAUGAAAGCCGGGGGUACCUGAAGUACGUAACCGCAAGGAGCGUCCUAGGGUAAAACUGGUGAUUGGGGCU
rnacentral:rRNA from 1 species